rnacentral:ncRNA from 2 species
AAUAAAAAGCAAUCUACCCUUCAUAUAAUUUCGAAAAUAAGGUUCGAAAGUUCCUACCAAAUCACCGAAAAAUGAUUUGACUAUGGAGGAAUUAUAUAAAUGU